GAAGCUGACCAGACAGUCGCCGCUUCGUCGUCGUCCUCCUUCGGGGGGAGACGGGCGGAGGGGAGGAAAGUCCGGGCUCCAUAGGGCAAGGUGCCAGGUAACGCCUGGGGGGUGUCACAGCCCACGACCAGUGCAACAGAGAGCAAACCGCCGAUGGCCCGCGCAAGCGGGAUCAGGUAAGGGUGAAAGGGUGCGGUAAGAGCGCACCGCGCGGCUGGUAACAGUCCGCGGCACGGUAAACUCCACCCGGAGCAAGGCCAAAUAGGGGUUCAUAAGGUACGG
rnacentral:RNase_P_RNA from 1 species